AUUGAACGCUGGCGGCAGGCCUAACACAUGCAAGUCGAACGGAAGAAGGGAGCUUGUUCCUGCAUUCAUCGGCGGACGGGUGCGGAAGGCCUAUGAAUCGGCCACUUCGUGGGGGAGAAGGUCAGGAAAUGGGCGCUAAUACUGCUUCCGCCCUACGUGGGAAAGUGAAGGAUCUUGGCACCCCAGGCUCUCGCCUGCGCCUAGGUCGGAUUAGCUAGUUGGUGGGGUAAAGGCCUACCAAGGCGAAGAUCCGUAACUGGUCUGAGAGGAUGAGCAGUCACACUGGAACUGAGACACGGUCCAGACUCCUACGGGAGGCAGCAGUGGGGAAUAUUGGACAAUGGGCGAAAGCCUGAUCCAGCCAUGCCGCGUGUGUGAAGAAGGUCUUCGGAUUGUAAAGCACUUUAAGUUGGGAGGAAGGGCAGUAAGUUAAUACCUUGCUGUUUUGACGUUACCAACAGAAUAAGCACCGGCUAACUUCGUG
rnacentral:rRNA from 1 species